rnacentral:pre_miRNA from 1 species
UUUUAUGAAUGAGCAAAGAAAGUGAUUUCUUGAGAUGUAGUCUACUCUUGGUGAAGAUGUUGUGAA